GGUUCAUCCAACAUAAGACAUACUACGAGCUCCUCCCUCCCCCGGCAGCCAGCGUCGGAGUAGACGGGAAUGGCUUCCCGCCUCAUAACCAGAUCAACGGCCGCGGUCCUCCUCUCCCACCUCCGCUCCAGGACGCCGAAUCCUACCCACCACCUCCUCACACAUGGAGCUGCCAUGUCCUCCCUUCUGGGACCCACUCACGGCCUUCCUGCCACCGCCAGAUCACGCCCCCUCCUCGAGCCGACUCGGUGGUUCUCUUCGCCGGCGCCGGUGGUGGAGGCGCCGAGGACGGUUGACGGCCUGACUGUGGACUCUAUUGCCGACAAGGGCUGGACGAUCCUCGCCGAGGCCGAGAGCGACUGGCGCAGCCACGCCGCCGCCGUCGCGCAGUCCAUCAGGCUCAUUAAGAAGCGUCUCAAGUGUUGGGAUGUGCAUCUGAUGUGCUUGUUUCUCUCGGGCAUAUCGACAAACACCUACCGUUCGUUCUCAGGUGCACGCGUAUGUGUGUGUGCUCGUGCAGCGAUCUCUGUUCAAGCACAUUUUUGCAUAGUUCCAGGCAGGGUGGCGCAGGAUCAGUGGAAAUGGUUACUGGAGAGGUCGAAGCAGUUGGCUGUGGUAUUGGAGAAGCCAGACCUCUGGGAGGAUCCAGUUUUUGCUGGGAAUGUUAGUCGUGAACAAGGCGAGCUCAUGGGCAAGAUUAAGUCAGUGAACCAAUUCGAGCAACAAUUGAUGGAGCACAUCGACAUGUUGAGGCUUGCACGUGAAGAGGGUGACAAUGAACUCGAGACGGAAUCCAUGCGAGCAUUGGCCGAUAUGAGAAGAGAUGCAAAGGAGAAAGAACUCAAUGCAUUGCUUUCUGGAGAUAAUGACGUUUACCCUUGCUUCAUUGAGGUCCAAGCAGGAGCCGGAGGCGUUGAGAGCAUGGAUUGGGCUGCCAUGGUUAUGAACAUGUACAGAUCAUGGGCUCAGAGACGGGGAUACAGAGUCACUAUAAUAGAAGAAAUACCUGGUGAACUAGCAGGAAUCAAGAGGGCUACUAUCAAAGUUGAUGGUGAGUAUGCAUUUGGAUAUGCGAAAUCUGAAAUAGGAGUUCACAGAUUAGUGCGGAUUUCUCCAUUUGACAGUGGAAAGCGGCGGCACACUUCCUUUGCUGCUGUCGCUGUCAUACCUAUUCUUGGUGAGGCCUCUAGCCGAUACCAGAUAAAUGAAUCGGAUCUUCGGAUAGAACGCUUCCGUUCUGGUGGACCUGGCGGCCAGCAUGCCAACACCACAGAAAGUGCUGUUAGAAUUGUGCACAUCCCAACUGGUACAACGGCAACUUGUCAAAAUGAAAGGUCACAACAUAUGAAUAGGGCAUCAGCAAUGGCGGUGCUUCAAUCUAGGUUGGACCAGCUUGAGAUUACCCGUCAAGCGCAGAUGAAUGCAGAGCACACGCAAUCACUGUCUGAAAUAAGCUGGGGAAACCAAAUAAGAUCGUAUGUGCUACAGCCAUACCGUAUGGUCAAAGAUCUCCGGACAAACUAUGAAGUGUCUGAUCCCGAUUCAGUCCUGGAAGGCGACCUGGAUGAUUUCAUACUGAGCUUUUUGUCAUUAUCAUUGGAUAAAGUUGAUGAAAGUGUCUGAACACAAACCAUGUCUAUCAUGUAUUGUUAGCACCAGCAGACUGUGACAGUGCCCAACUGACAGUAAGAGGGGCUAUUAUUUUCUUUACUACACUGACAAAUACAAUGGACAUCUUGAGUGGCGAAAGGUUCGGUGUCUGGGAUAAGGUGCCAUUUUUUUUGCUCAUGUUCAGAUGCAUGGAGGCGACCAUAUACAGUAUUUUCUUGUAUUGUACUUCAUAGUAUCAGUACUUACAGUAUUCAUAGUGCCACUCUGCUUACCAAAGUAGUAGUUUUUUCUUUUUUUCUUUUUUGCAUUGCCGUCUGAAAUAAGCUGUAAGCUUUCUGUUGC